CUCUUAUGCGCUCAUUUGGAAGAGGAACAAGCUGAUUUCUUUCUUUAAUCCUUGGAAUCCAACUCAGACCAAACCUACACUUCUUACCUUCCAUACGUAGAACUAAGGACCACCCAAGCAUGAGGAGUGUUCAUAAUUGAUUCAGAAUUAACGGCUUCCCUCUCAUGCCCUCUCUCAACCAUCGCUUCCUUGAUGAAAGCACAACCAAUGCUGUUUUCCCUUCUUACCUCAUCCCUCUCUCAAAAUGUGACCUUCCUAAGGAAACAACAACACGUUAAGUAUAUCCAUCCUUUUGUUUAUGGUCAGCCGUGUAACCUUGAGCAAGGAGGUUGAAGCUCAACAUCCUUUUUCCCCCUCUUUUGCGCACAGCCCCACCUUGAGUAGGAGAAGGUAAGGUAACUCUUGCUGUUUUAUUGUUUCCCCCCCUCCUUGGACCGAUUGUUGAGUAAGCUUUAUUUUUUUUGAAUAUGAUUUUGUCUUGAUGGGGUCGCACCACCAUUGCAUGCGGCUGUGAGUUCGAAUCCUUGAAGAAUGAGAUACGAAGGCUGCUGUCCUUGCUUUAAGCGCUAAUCUUGGGGGUAUUCAUGGAGGUACGAAUAAUCCUUGAGUGUGGACUGAGUAUUGCUGCAGUUAAAUAAAUAAUUGUGGCAUACCAGGAGGACGGAAGAGCAUUUGAAGACAUGUUUAAUUGGAUAUUUGCUGUUAUUUGCUGCUGUAUGGACUAUUGUUGUUGCUGAUGUUUGAUGGAUGACUGUAUUCAAUUGAGUAGCUUGGAUUACAGUUGGAUUAUGAUUUUGUUUCUGUUUUUAAGACCUUUUAUGAUCAGUUGGUAACAUUGGAAAAAUUCUGAA